rnacentral:rRNA from 1 species
ACUAUGUUCGGAACUGAUAAGCGCUGAAAGCAUCUAAGCGCGAAGCAGGCCUCAAGAUUAGGUAUCAUAGAUUCCUUAAAGAUGAUGAGGUUGAUAGGCCGCGGGUGUAAGCCCGGUAACGGGUUGAGCCGAGCGGUACUAAUAAAUCGUCAACCUGCUGAU